rnacentral:lncRNA from 10 species
GAGCAGCCCCCACCCCACCCUCCAUGGCAGAGUGCAGUGGGGGAAGGUUACAUCAUCUGGAGACUGAGAACUUGGGAUGCUCCUUGUUCAUCCAAGCAUUUGAACAAAUCCAGUGUCCUUUUUGAGCAAAAUAUGAGCCCCACCUUUAGAAUCUGUGAAUCUCCCCUUCAGAUGGGAAAGCUGUUUUUGUGGCUAAAAUUAGAAAUAACCCAAAUGUCUAUGAAAUGAUGCAUGGAUAGAUAAAAUGUGAUAUACCCACACAAUGGAAAAGUAUUUAUCAAUAAAAAGGACUGAAGUCCUGAUACAUACUCCAACAUGAAUAAAUAUCCAAAACAUCAUGCUAAGUGAAAGGAGCCAGACACAAAAGACCACGUUCUGUAUAAUUCCAUUUAUAUAAAAUGGCAAAAAACCAAAUUCAUAAAAACAGAAAAUAGAUUAGUGCCUAGAUUUGAGGGUGAAAAAAUUAACUGCAUGAUCUUUUUGGAGUGAUGAAAUAUUCUAUAAUGGAUUAUUGUGAUAGUUGCACAACUUCUUAAAUUUACUAAAUAUCAUUGAAAUGAAUAAAUUUUUAUGUUGCGUACAUUAUAUCCUAAUAAAUUUAUUUUAAAAAACAUCCUUUAUGACUGAGUUAAAUAAACUUGCAAGCUCCUAAAUUUGUAUGGUAGGAUGUUAAUUUUUAGUUUAAGACAUUUGGUUUCUAAAGAUACUGAAUCUCCAGAGAAGUCAAAUGGAAUAUUAGCAGUUGGGCUAAUCUGAGAUAUAACCUUGAUGAAUUUGCUAGGGAUGUCUGAUGGUUGGGAGGGACAUUGAACGUUUUGAGCCAACAAGAUCUCUGACUUCCAUCCUUAUAGUGAACUCUGUUACUUUGGGCAGCAUUAUCUCAUCUACCUGUUGAAAUCCCCUUUCUAAGUUAUUAUCAUCAAGAUUGUUCAAAUAGAAACCAAUAUUGCUGUAUUUUGUCUUUUGUACAGCCAUAUUUGAAGACAUUGGCUGUUAGGUUUCUUGAGAUCCCUAAAAUGGGAUCCCUUAGAUCUCAUUCCAUGAAAAUUAUUCUCAUCGCAUGCAGAAAAUAAUUUUAUGAUUUGGAAAAACUUGUUUCUAAUUCAUCCCUUGCAGGUUACAUGAUCUGGAGACUGAGAACUUGGGACACUCCUUGUUCAUCCAAGCGUUUGAACAAAUCCAGUGUCCUUCUUGAGCAAAAUAUGAGCCCCACCUUUAGAAUUUGUGAAUCUCCCUUUCAGAUGGAAAAGCUUUUUUGUGCAUUAAAUAAACUUGAUCCUUAGAUCCAUAUGAUCUUCAGGCGAAAAUCUCUUCGUGGCCAUGAAAGUUUUACUUUUGGUGUAUUUGUACAUUUUCUCCUAUGAUACAGGGAGAGACGUAGUUCAAUAGGUUUUCCUUUUUGUCUCGACAACUAGGAAAGGCAAAGUUACAUUCAAUGGUCAGUGUUGCUGUAGCUCUGAUGUAUAAUAAUGUCUUAUUUGCUGUUCUUUCUCUCUCUGUCAUGAUUCUAUAUAUAAUUGUCUCAUUUGUAUUAUGCUUAAUUUAGUGAACUACCUCACAUUUUAGGCAGUGAGUGGGUUGCAAAUAAAAAUAAUGAAUGCAGCUGAGUGCGGUGGCUAACACCUGU